CCCUUAGAUGGCCUGGGCUGCACGCGGGCUACAAUGGUAUAUUCAGCGUGAGUUGUUUACCGAAAGGUAGAUCAAAUCUUCAAAUUAUACCGUACUUGGGAUUGGACAUUGCAAUUGUUGUCCAUGAACGAGGAAUUCCUAGUAAGUGCAUGUCAUUAGCGUGCGCUGAUUACGUCCCUGCCCUUUGUACACACCGCCCGUCGCUCCUACCGAUUGGGUGCUGGGGUGAACAUUGUGGAGAUUUGAGCUUCGGCUUGGUCAAAGCAAUGUGAAUCUUGCCGCCUAGAGGAAGGAGAAGUCGUAACA
rnacentral:rRNA from 1 species